ensembl:lncRNA
UUUAAAUGUUCCGUUUUGAGUGCCACUUAAAAGUCCUUUCCUGCGGUAAGUGUUAACAUCAGACUAAAGCGAUGCUGAACAUACCGUGAUAAGACUCGCAGCAGCCGCCUUCACUCCUCCAUUCAGUUCUCAUUUUCAGUUUCCCGCUGCUCUCGUUUCCUCUCCCUCCUCUCGCAUGUUUCUGUCCGGCGCUCGCCGUGACAUCAGAGCAGGGCCAACAGAUACAAAACCGGAAGAAUGAAAAUAACGUGUGAGAUUGGAUCUGAAAACGAAGCCUGCGAGCGUCAGUCCACCUUUUACCCUCAAACCUACCUACACACACACUUGGCUGUGUAAAACAGGGGAUGCCGAUAUGCUGCCGC